rnacentral:tRNA from 1 species
GGGGAUAUAGCUCAGCCGGGAGAGCGCCGCGUUCGCAUCGCGGAGGUCGGGGGUUCGAAUCCCCCUAUCUCCACCA